CGUAGGGUGCGAGCGUUGUCCGGGAUUACUGGGCGUAAAGAGCUCGUAGGUGGUUUGUCGCGUUGUUCGUGAAAACUCACAACUCAAUUGUGGGCGUGCGGGCGAUACGGGCAGACUGGAGUACUGCAGGGGAGACUGGAAUUCCUGGUGUAGCGGUGGAAUGCGCAGAUAUCAGGAGGAACACCGGUGGCGAAGGCGGGUCUCUGGGCAGUAACUGACGCUGAGGAGCGAAAGCGUGGGGAGCGAACAGGAUUAGAUACCCUGGUAGUCCACGCCGUAAACGGUGGGUACUAGGUGUGGGUUUCCUUCCUUGGGAUCCGUGCCGUAGCUAACGCAUUAAGUACCCCGCCUGGGGAGUACGGCCGCAAGGCUA
rnacentral:rRNA from 1 species